GGGUCUACAACGACGACCCUGCAGACGACUUCCUACGCGUGGGAGGCGAUGUGGCCACCUCGGCGGCGAGCUUUGGCAAUUCGUGGCGCGUCCCUGACGCCGGAUUGAUCCCCUGUGAAGACGCAGCAGAGGAGCCUCACAGCUGCGAAGCGCCGGAAGGCCAAAGGAUG